AUAAUAUUUUAGUUUUCUUAUUUUUAUUUUCACUGAUAGAUACCAAAACAUGUAUAUUUAUUAGCCAGGGGAGGAUUGCAAGUAAUGGUCAUCAAGUUCAUGUAGUCGAUUUCCUUAACGAGAAACAAAGCAAGGUGUUUGGGACAGCAAGCACGUAGACAAAAAGAAGCAAAACAAAAAACAAGCCACCUACAAGCCAUAGAUUCCGAACAAGUAUAUCGACAAGACAAAGUUUUAGUCGGUCAACAAGCACAAAAUUCAACGCAAACUCAUGAAAAGUUAUCAAAAAGAAAAGAAAAUGCAUUGAUACAACCUGUAUGGAGUUUGUACGUUCCAACAAAAUCCAAUUCUUAGCUUUGGGUGACACAGCUUACAUUGUAUCUAUUCAGAAGC